UGUUUUUCGGUUGCCGUGGUUACUACGGGCUCCUCUUUCAUCCGGGCUCUACUGGUGAAAAUAACUGCAGACGGCUGGUAAAAAGUUGGAAUAGCUUUCGUUAAGCGUCGGAUGUGUAGAGUGCUGAGUUAGGGGCUGGACUAGAGACGUUGGGACAUCUCCCGGGAACAGCAGCCUGGAGGGGAAAAAUCUCCUGACCUAAGUGGUCAUUCGGCCUUGGCGCUUGGACACGGGAGUGCGGCGACAGCCAUAUGUCCAUCCAUCUUGGCACUUUUCCGUCCUCUGCCUUUGAAGAUGGGUGUGCCCGGCAGGCUGUGAAAGAUAAACAUUAGAGGGUUGUUUAGAAGACUUUUUUGACCUGAGCCCAUGAGGUGCAUACCCUUUGUUUGGCGGAGAAACCAGUGGCUUCUGAAGAUCAGGGACGGGCCACAAGUGCGAGGCAUUGCAGACAUUUCGAACCCAGACUUCCAGCCUGGAGACAUCCACACGCUUCCAGUUUCUUGCACUGUAAAUCCUGCUGCUGCUCACUCUUUGGGUCUGCACUGCCUUUAUGAGCUGUAACACUCACCGGAAGGUCUGCAGCUUCACUCCUGAAGCCAGCGAGACCAUGAACCCACCGGGAGAAGAGAACAGUGCUGUCUUUAUGAGCUGUAACACUGUAACACUCACUGCAAAGGUCGAAGGUCUGCGGCUUCACUCCUGAAGUCAGCGAGAACAUGAACCCACCAGAAGGAAGAAACUCCGGAUACACCUGAACAUCAGAAAGAAUAAACUCCGGACACACCAUCUUUAAAAACUGUAACACUCACCGCGAGGGUCCGUGGCUUCAUUCUUGAAGUCAACGAGACCAAGAACCCACCGGAAGGAACAAAUUUCGGACACAAUAGGAAAUCUCUAAGGUGGAAUACUAUAUCAAAAGAGAGAAGCCAAAAUGAUAUCAUACGCUGAAAAUGUUAAUGGAAUUCCACAACCUUGCCUAUUAAAAACUCCACAGUUUGAGCACAGCAUGGAAUCAAAAUUUAAAAAAUAAACAUGACAUAGUAUUUUUAUCAUUUGAUAUUUUUUGCUAUUUAAUUGGUCUUUGUAGUUUCUAUUACUGUGUGACAUCAAUUCAGUGACAGGAAACCAUUUAUUAUCACUGAUUAUUUCAGAGAUUCUAAUAUUAUAAAAUAGGUGAAACUUUUGGAUUUAAGGACUAGAAAAUUC
rnacentral:lncRNA from 10 species